CGGAGACCCUCGGAGCGCAGCCGCGGUGGGGAGACUGUCCCCUCCGGAGGGCAUCCCAAAUGCCUCUCCCGUCCGCAGAAUUUUUGGGCCCUUCCCUGAAUUUUGGGGAUCAGCGGAGCUUGAAGCUGUGGGGGGGCGGGUAAGGCUUUGCGCGCAGGGGCUGCAACGCGCGGACGCGCAGUUCUCAUCCCUUUGCAGUGUUAAAAAAAAAAAAAAAAAAAAAAAAAGAAAGAAAAAGAAAAAAAGGAGGGUUUCUAGGCUGGAACGCUCCUUCCCCUUUAUGUUUCUCCGGAGGGAGCCGCCGGACAGAAGAAACAAGCGGGCAAGGGAGUGGGUGCCCUGGGACCCCCCCGUCGUCCCGAAAAAUGGUCGGGGGUGGGAAGAGGAAAGGAGACGUCCCGGUGCCCUGAGGAGGAAGGACUGGGAAGAUCCUGGCCCAGCGCACAGUUAUCCUCAAGGAAACGUAAAAGGAUGGGAGCGGAUCCUUUCACGAGACAGGAAUUAUUAAGGCCAUCACCCUGAUACUGAACCACGUUUAUGUUGAUGUACUUCCAUGAAUACAUCUAUCAAGCCUCAGGCUGUUCCAGUUCCAAUAUCUAAACAGAGUAUUUCUCCAAGUACAGAACAAACAACGGCGAGAUUCACAGAGGGAUUUUUGCAUGUCUGUGGCUACUUUCUGCAGUCAUCUUUAUUCUGUUAUGUUUGAAAUCCAACCCUGAAGCUGAAGAGCACGAUGAGGUCAGUCAAGUGACUCAGGGUUUCUGUCUUGCUCCAACAUGUCCUGAAGAUGUUUUCCUUCACCUACAGUAACUAAAAAGAGGUCCAGAGCUAAGACUUGGAAAUAAUAAAACUGGAGAGGGUGGUAGAACAGCCUCUUUCCUGGUUGUGGCUUUUUAUGUUGUGAUGUUGUGUUUAUAUUUUCUCAUUUAUUUUUUCCUGGGCAGGGGGAGGCCUCACUAUGUAUUACUAGAAUAGGAACCUAAUCCUUGGUUUUGACCAGUACAGCUGAAUUUAUUCUCUGCUUAAACUGCUGGAGAUGUGCUUUCACUGCUCAUGACAUAAGUGGAGUCCUUCACAUAGAUUACUGAUUUGUAGUCACUGUUGGGCCAUCUA